UACGGAGGGUGCAAGCGUUAUCCGGAUUUACUGGGUUUAAAGGGUGUGUAGGCGGGCCAUUAAGUCAGGGGUGAAAUCCCGGAGCUCAACUCCGGAACUGCCUUUGAUACUAUUGGUCUUGAAUGUUGUUGAGAUGGGCGGAACGGGUCAUGUAGCGGUGAAAUGCAUAGAUAUCGUAAGGAAGACCAGUGGCGAAGGCGGGUCUCUGGACAGUUCCUGACGCUGAGGCACGAAGGCCAGGGGAGCAAACGGG
rnacentral:rRNA from 1 species